rnacentral:lncRNA from 1 species
AAAAUAAACAGCUGCGCCAUGAGCGCAUGAUACGCCCGUCAUCUUGUGUAGAAGUUUUAUGCAAAAUCAUAAAUGGUUUCUGAGAAAGUUUUAAGCAAUAACCAUAUAUUGUUUUUGAGAUACGGCAGGACAUGUGAAACCCCUCCUGUUUUUUUUUUUACAAAAAACUAAAUAUCACUAAAAUAAAAUUUUGAAUCAAAACCAAACAGUA